rnacentral:tRNA from 1 species
GGGCCUGUGGUUUAGUCUGGUAUAACGACGCCCUUACAAGGCGUAGGUCACCGGUUCAAAUCCGGUCGGGCCCA